rnacentral:rRNA from 1 species
UUGACAUGUCAGAAAAUUUUCAGAGAUGAAUUUGUGCCCGAAAGGGAAUCUGAACACAGGUGCUGCAUGGCUGUCGUCAGCUCGUGUCGUGAGAUGUUGGGUUAAGUCCCGCAACGAGCGCAACCCUUGUCAUUAAUUGCCAUCAUUUAGUUGGGCACUUUAAUGAGACUGCCGGUGACAAACCGGAGGAAGGUGGGGAUGACGUCAAGUCCUCAUGGCCCUUAUGGGUAGGGCUUCACACGUAAUACAAUGGCGCGUACAGAGGGGUUGCCAACCCGCGAGGGGGAGCUAAUCUCAGAAAGCGCGUCGUAGUCCGGAUCGGAGUCUGCAACUCGACUCCGUGAAGUCGGAAUCGCUAGUAAUCGCGGAUCAGCAUGUCGCGGUGAAUACGUUCCCGGGUCUUGUACACACCGCCCGUCACACCAUGGGAGUGGGUUUCACCAGAAGCAGGUAGUCUAACCGUAAGGAGGGCGCUUGCCACGGUGAGAUUCAUGACUGGGGU